GGAGACGUGCCUGAGUGGUCGAUAGGGGCACCCUGCUAAGGUGUUAAUCACGUUUUUGUGGUUCGAGGGUCCGAAUCCCUCCGUCUCCG
rnacentral:tRNA from 1 species